UAUGGUAUAGAUUGGCUGUAGUAGAUUCAUUGUAGGAGUAGGAUGUGUACCUAGAUAGGAUCUAUCGAUCUUAAUAGAUAACGACUAAUCCUAUGUGAUUUAUGAGAUUGAGUUCUUAAGACUAUGGUCAUGGCAGCGUGAAUAAUGAAAUUUUUUUUUAUGAGAUUUCACAUAAUAAACUCGAGUUGAAUAAAUCUUAUAUAUAAUAGAUGAUAAGAUUUGGUGAAUUUUCUAUAAUCUCCAUCUUAUCGAGACU
rnacentral:lncRNA from 1 species